rnacentral:rRNA from 1 species
CUUGCUUUCUUUGCUGGCGACCGGCGCACGGGUGAGUAACACGUAUCCAACCUACCCUUUACUCGGGGAUAGCCUUUCGAAAGAAAGAUUAAUACCCGAUAGCAUAAUGAUUCCGCAUGGUUUCAUUAUUAAAGGAUUCCGGUAAAGGAUGGGGAUGCGUUCCAUUAGGUUGUUGGUGGGGUAACGGCUCACCAAGCCUUCGAUGGAUAGGGGUUCUGAGAGGAAGGUCCCCCACAUUGGAACUGAGACACGGUCCAAACUCCUACGGGAGGCAGCAUG